AUGUUGCAUCGGUCUCAUUUGUUUGCUAGACUUACUAAUGGCGAUGCUCCUGCUUGCAACUACGCGGUGAAUGGGCAUCAGUACACAAAUGGCUACUAUCUUGCUGAUGGUAUUUACCAUUCUUGGUCUACAUUUGUCAAGUUCAUCAAGAAACCCAAAACUAGGAAGGAAAUUGAAUUUGUAAAGGUACAAGAGGCCGAGCGAAAAGAUAUUGAAAGAGCCUUUGGGUUUUUGCAAGCUAGGUUUGCCAUUGUUUGUGGUCCUGAUCGUUUUUGGGACAAGCGAACCCUGAAGAACAUCAUGACAUGUUGUGUGAUUCUUCACAACAUGACCAUCGAAGAUGAGAGGGAUAUGAUCUUGGAGUUCUUCUAUGACAAUGUCGGUAGCCGUGUGAAGCCAUCCAGAAACCCUGACCGCAUACAAGCAUUUCCUCAGACAUACCGGGAAAUUGAAGACUCAAACACCCACCACCAGCUUCUGGGCGAUCUCAUUGAGCACCAUUGGCAAAGGCAUGGGUAG
rnacentral:rRNA from 1 species